rnacentral:lncRNA from 10 species
ACAUUUGCAAGCAUAGCUGCACAUGUUCUGGUUUAAUUGGGAAAUCUCUCCUUUGACUUUCAGGAUAGCACAGAAGCAGAGACUUUAAGUCUAAACAGACCUAGAUUCAGAGCCGACCCGAUGCUGCUUGAAGAAGGCUGGAGGUAUGUUAAGGAGACAAGGGCUGUCAAGAAGCAGGGAUGUCUCUGGAAAGGGUGAGCAGCUGACGUCCUUUGUUAUUCAUGUUAGGCUCCUGAAAACACCACAAGGACCUACCCUCCGGGAGCCAGCCAGAGAACCCUUCUUCCUGCACUGUCUCCGUUAUGCCCAACAUUUCUGGGCAUAAGUUUUAAUAAACCUUACCUGGGAAAAGUUUGUUUGGCCUCGUGUUAAUUGCUAUUAUAUGGAGAGCCAAGAAUCUCGAACCAGUAAGAGUUGUGAAGUCACCCUCAAUAUUUCCCAAGUCUUCAAAGGAAUUGAGACACUAUAAUCAUUACCCAGGACUCCACGCUUGUCAAAUUUGUUGAUGACCUCCUACUUUGCAACCAAACUGAAUAGAAUGCUUGUAUAGACUCCCUAAUCCUUCUGAAGGUACUG